AACUCAUGGUGAGGGCAUUGUAUAGUGUAGCUUCUGAAUCUUUCCAAAGCUUCACCAAAAGUUUCAUUGUGGUGUUGGGUAAAUGAUGAGAUCUGGUUCCUAAGCU
rfam:Eutrema salsugineum unplaced genomic scaffold scaffold_3, whole genome shotgun sequence.